rnacentral:sRNA from 1 species
AGAGGAAGUAAAAGUCGUAACAAGGUUUCCGUAGGUGAACCUGCGGAAGGAUCAUUAGUGAAAUUUUGAACUGUCGCAUGUUGUGCUGGCCUUUCCGAGGCACUGUGCACGCUUGUUGACUUUCAUCCAACACCCUUGUGAACCAUUUGACCCUGCGUUGGCUUCGGCUGACACUGGGGAUUUCUUACACCAAACCCGCAUGUAAUGAAAAACUUAUAUUUUGUGCGCAAGCACGUAAAUGUACAACUUUCAACAACGGAUCUCUUGGCUCUCGCAUCGAUGAAGAACGCAGCGAAAUGCGAUAAGUAAUGUGAAUUGCAGAAUUCAGUGAAUCAUCGAAUCUUUGAACGCACCUUGCACCCUUUGGUAUUCCGAAGGGUAUGCUCGUUUGAGUGUCAUUGUACUCUCACACUCUUUCACUUUUUCACGGAGUUGAAAGAGAGGUGGAACUGGACGCCUGCUGCCUAAUCCGCGGCUCGUCUGAAAUCCGUUAGUGCACCUUCGGGUUGGACAUAGUACGGCGUGAUAAGUAUCUUCGCUGGCUCCUCGCAAGAGGGUGUUCAAUCCGUGAGCUCUGUGCUUCCAACAGUCCUUCCUUUAGAGGGGACAAACCUUUUUUUGACAACUUGACCUCAAAUCGAGUAGGACUACCCGCUGAACUUAAGCAUAUCAAUAAGCGGAGGAAAAGAAACUAACAAGGAUUCCCCUAGUAACGGCGAGUGAAGAGGGAAGAGCUCAAAUUUUGAAUCUGGCGUCUUUGGCGUCCGAGUUGUAAUCUAGAGAAGUGUUUUCCGCGGCGGACCGUGCAUAAGUCUCCUGGAAUGGUGCGUCAUAGAGGGUGAGAAUCCCGUAUAUGGCACGGACUCCCGUUGCUCUGCGAUACACUCUCGACGAGUCGAGUUGUUUGGGAAUGCAGCUCAAAAUGGGUGGUAAAUGCCAUCUAAAGCUAAAUAUUGGCGAGAGACCG